CACACACACACACAGACACACACAAACACACACACAGUGAGAGGCUGGAGCAGCUACACAAGGUAAAUUGAACACAAUAAACACGGCUACACACACAAUCCUAGCUGCAGCAGAUGUACAAUGUUAUACAGACACACACAGACACAGCUGUACAGUGACACAGAGACGCACACACAAUCACAGCUGCAGCAUACACACUCUGAAAUGCAGGUGUAGAGCAGCGUGUAGUUGUGACUCUGUGUCUCUCUCCUCCCCCUCUCCUCUCCUCUCCUUACUUUGUUUAAAAGAAUAGAAGCACACCCAGUGAGCAAGGCAUUGAGCAGCCCCACAUCCCGCUUCACAAUACCGCUACAUAUUGACUGACUGUUCGCAUUGUGUGUGUUUGGUCUGUGAGGAUGAGAAGGUCUCCACAGUCUGGAGUCUGGUCUCUGACAGGCUCAACAUACCUGUCAAUCAACAGGGACUCCUCUACAAAGGCAAGGCGCUGGCAGGUAGGCUGAACAGCACAGCACAGCACAGAACAGCUCACCCCUCCUCUCACGCCUCGCCUCACCCCGGGUCAGUGUGGCACAGCCUGCCUGCUCUUCUGAACAAACACUUCAGCCCUGCCGACGCAGUGAGAGUCUGGAGCAGCAACACAAGGUGAUGAAGUGACACAUUGAAUAUGGGGCCUGAUGAGAGAAGUAUCCUUUUCAUGUGGUUUUGGUUUUGCCGUUGUGAGCAGGUAUGGGAGACAGCACCGUGUCUGCAUGUGAAAUAACAAAGUCAUCGCAGUGGAGGGACUCUCUGAAGGCUGCUGUUUGUGGAUUUGUCUUGUAAUGUGAGUGAUCUACUGUACUGUGAUGCCACUGGCUGUACGCAUGCUGCACUGCAGGGGAGAGACCGCUGGCAUUCACAGGGCAUGCUUGUUCAUUUAAAGCACGCUGCACUGCAGGGGAGAGACCGCUGGCAUUCACAGGGCAUGCUUGUUCAUUUAAAGCACGCUGCACUGCAGGGGAGACACCGCUGGCAUUCACAGGGCAUGCUUGUUCAUUUAAAGCACGCUGCACUGUAGGGGAGACACCACUGGC